rnacentral:rRNA from 1 species
AGAGUUUGAUCCUGGCUCAGGACGAACGCUGGCGGCGUGCUAAUACAUGCAAGUCGAGCGGACAGAUGGGAGCUUGCUCCCUAAUGUUAGCGGCGGACGGGUGAGUAACACGUGGGUAACCUGCCCGUAAGACUGGGAUAACUCCGGGAAACCGGGGCUAAUACCGGAUGGUUGUUUGAACCGCAUGGUUCAAACAUAAAAGGUGGCUUCGGCUACCACUUACAGAUGGACCCGCGGCGCAUUAGCUAGUUGGUGAGGUAACGGCUCACCAAGGCGACGAUGCGUAGCCGACCUGAGAGGGUGAUCGGCCACACUGGGACUGAGACACGGCCCAGACUCCUACGGGAGGCAGCAGUAGGGAAUCUUCCGCAAUGGACGAAAGUCUGACGGAGCAACGCCGCGUGAGUGAUGAAGGUUUUCGGAUCGUAAAGCUCUGUUGUUAGGGAAGAACAAGUACCGUUCGAAUAGGGCGGUACCUUGACGGUACCUAACCAGAAAGCCACGGCUAACUACGUGCCAGCAGCCGCGGUAAUACGUAGGUGGCAAGCGUUGUCCGGAAUUAUUGGGCGUAAAGGGCUCGCAGGCGGUUUCUUAAGUCUGAUGUGAAAGCCCCCGGCUCAACCGGGGAGGGUCAUUGGAAACUGGGGAACUUGAGUGCAGAAGAGGAGAGUGGAAUUCCACGUGUAGCGGUGAAAUGCGUAGAGAUGUGGAGGAACACCAGUGGCGAAGGCGACUCUCUGGUCUGUAACUGACGCUGAGGAGCGAAAGCGUGGGGAGCGAACAGGAUUAGAUACCCUGGUAGUCCACGCCGUAAACGAUGAGUGCUAAGUGUUAGGGGGUUUCCGCCCCUUAGUGCUGCAGCUAACGCAUUAAGCACUCCGCCUGGGGAGUACGGUCGCAAGACUGAAACUCAAAUGAAUUGACGG